GGGUGAGUAACACGUGGAUAACCUACCUAUAAGACUGGGAUAACUUCGGGAAACCGGAGCUAAUACCGGAUAAUAUUUUGAACCGCAUGGUUCAAAAGUGAAAGACGGUCUUGCUGUCGCUUAUAGAUGGAUCCGCGCUGCAUUAGCUAGUUGGUAAGGUAACGGCUUACCAAGGCAACGAUGCAUAGCCGACCUGAGAGGGUGAUCGGCCACACUGGAACUGAGACACGGUCCAG
rnacentral:rRNA from 1 species